AUUGAACGCUGGCGGCAUGCCUUACACAUGCAAGUCGAACGGCAGCAUGAUCUAGCUUGCUCGAUUGAUGGCGAGUGGCGAACGGGUGAGUAAUACAUCGGAACGUGCCCUGUAGUGGGGGAUAACUAGUCGAAAGAUUAGCUAAUACCGCAUACGACCUGAGGGUGAAAGUGGGGGACCGCAAGGCCUCAUGCUAUAGGAGCGGCCGAUGCCUGAUUAGCUAGUUGGUGAGGUAAAGGCUCACCAAGGCGACGAUCAGUAGCUGGUCUGAGAGGACGAUCAGCCACACUGGGACUGAGACACGGCCCAGACUCCUACGGGAGGCAGCAGUGGGGAAUUUUGGACAAUGGGCGAAAGCCUGAUCCAGCAAUGCCGCGUGUGUGAAGAAGGCCUUCGGGUUGUAAAGCACUUUUGUCCGGAAAGAAAUGGCUCUGGUUAAUACCUGGGGUCGAUGACGGUACCGGAAGAAUAAGGACCGGCUAACUACGUG
rnacentral:rRNA from 1 species